rnacentral:ncRNA from 2 species
UACCGUUCUCGUCGCCGUGGUGUUCGGGAAGACCGGUGUGAUGCCGGAGCGGCCCUCGCCACUGUGAUCGGGAUGUCGACAGCCACUCCCCGCCAGCCGGGGAAGCCACUGGGCAGCGGACCACACGGACCGCACGCCCGGGAAGGCGGCCGCCGGCGCACCACCCGUCAGCCAGGAGACCGGCCACGGCACCCGCGAUCCG